UUAAGCGACUAAGCGUACACGGUGGAUGCCCUGGCAGUCAGAGGCGAUGAAGGACGUGCUAAUCUGCGAAAAGCGUCGGUAAGGUGAUAUGAACCGUUAUAACCGGCGAUGUCCGAAUGGGGAAACCCAGUGCAAUUCGUUGCACUAUCGUUAACUGAAUACAUAGGUUAACGAGGCGAACCGGGGGAACUGAAACAUCUAAGUACCCCGAGGAAAAGAAAUCAACCGAGAUUCCCCCAGUAGCGGUGAGCGAACGGGGAGCAGCCCAGAGUCUGAAUCAGCUUGUGUGUUAGUGGAACGGUCUGGAAAGUCCGACGGUACAGGGUGAUAGUCCCGUACACCAAAAUGCACAGGUUGUGAACUCGAAGAGUAGGGCGGGACACGUGGUAUCCUGUCUGAAUAUGGGGGGACCAUCCUCCAAGGCUAAAUACUCCUGACUGACCGAUAGUGAACCAGUACCGUGAGGGAAAGGCGAAAAGAACCCCGGCGAGGGGAGUGAAAAAGAACCUGAAACCGUGUACGUACAAGCAGUGGGAGCACCUUCGGGUGUGACUGCGUACCUUUUGUAUAAUGGGUCAGCGACUUAUAUUCUGUAGCAAGGUUAACCGUAUAGGGGAGCCGCAGGGAAACCGAGUCUUAACUGGGCGUUAAGUUGCAGGGUAUAGACCCGAAACCCGGUGAUCUAGCCAUGGGCAGGUUGAAGGUUGGGUAACACUAACUGGAGGACCGAACCGACUAAUGUUGAAAAAUUAGCGGAUGACUUGUGGCUGGGGGUGAAAGGCCAAUCAAACCGGGAGAUAGCUGGUUCUCCCCGAAAGCUAUUUAGGUAGCGCCUCGUGAACUCAUCUUCGGGGGUAGAGCACUGUUUCGGCUAGGGGGUCAUCCCGACUUACCAACCCGAUGCAAACUACGAAUACCGAAGAAUGUUAUCACGGGAGACACACGGCGGGUGCUAACGUCCGUCGUGAAGAGGGAAACAACCCAGACCGCCAGCUAAGGUCCCAAAGUCAUGGUUAAGUGGGAAACGAUGUGGGAAGGCACAGACAGCCAGGAUGUUGGCUUAGAAGCAGCCAUCAUUUAAAGAAAGCGUAAUAGCUCACUGGUCGAGUCGGCCUGCGCGGAAGAUGUAACGGGGCUAAACCAUGCACCGAAGCUGCGGCAGCGACACUAUGUGUUGUUGGGUAGGGGAGCGUUCUGUAAGCCUGCGAAGGUGACCUGUGAGGGUUGCUGGAGGUAUCAGAAGUGCGAAUGCUGACAUAAGUAACGAUAAAGCGGGUGAAAAGCCCGCUCGCCGGAAGACCAAGGGUUCCUGUCCAACGUUAAUCGGGGCAGGGUGAGUCGACCCCUAAGGCGAGGCCGAAAGGCGUAGUCGAUGGGAAACAGGUUAAUAUUCCUGUACUUGGUGUUACUGCGAAGGGGGGACGGAGAAGGCUAUGUUAGCCGGGCGACGGUUGUCCCGGUUUAAGCAUGUAGGCUGGUUGUCCAGGCAAAUCCGGAUAAUCAAGGCUGAGGUGUGAUGACGAGGCACUACGGUGCUGAAGUAACAAAUGCCCUGCUUCCAGGAAAAGCCUCUAAGCAUCAGGUAACAUUAAAUCGUACCCCAAACCGACACAGGUGGUCAGGUAGAGAAUACCAAGGCGCUUGAGAGAACUCGGGUGAAGGAACUAGGCAAAAUGGUGCCGUAACUUCGGGAGAAGGCACGCUGGUGUGUAGGUGAAGCCCCUGCGGGUGGAGCUGAGACCAGUCGAAGAUACCAGCUGGCUGCAACUGUUUAUUAAAAACACAGCACUGUGCAAACACGAAAGUGGACGUAUACGGUGUGACGCCUGCCCGGUGCCGGAAGGUUAAUUGAUGGGGUUAUCCGUAAGGAGAAGCUCUUGAUCGAAGCCCCGGUAAACGGCGGCCGUAACUAUAACGGUCCUAAGGUAGCGAAAUUCCUUGUCGGGUAAGUUCCGACCUGCACGAAUGGCGUAAUGAUGGCCAGGCUGUCUCCACCCGAGACUCAGUGAAAUUGAACUCGCUGUGAAGAUGCAGUGUACCCGCGGCAAGACGGAAAGACCCCGUGAACCUUUACUAUAGCUUGACACUGAACAUUGAGCCUUGAUGUGUAGGAUAGGUGGGAGGCUUUGAAGCGUGGACGCCAGUCUGCGUGGAGCCAACCUUGAAAUACCACCCUUUAAUGUUUGAUGUUCUAACGUUGGCCCCUUACCGGGGUUGCGGACAGUGUCUGGUGGGUAGUUUGACUGGGGCGGUCUCCUCCCAAAGCGUAACGGAGGAGCACGAAGGUUAGCUAAUCCUGGUCGGACAUCAGGAGGUUAGUGCAAUGGCAUAAGCUAGCUUGACUGCGAGCGUGACGGCGCGAGCAGGUGCGAAAGCAGGUCAUAGUGAUCCGGUGGUUCUGAAUGGAAGGGCCAUCGCUCAACGGAUAAAAGGUACUCCGGGGAUAACAGGCUGAUACCGCCCAAGAGUUCAUAUCGACGGCGGUGUUUGGCACCUCGAUGUCGGCUCAUCACAUCCUGGGGCUGAAGUAGGUCCCAAGGGUAUGGCUGUUCGCCAUUUAAAGUGGUACGCGAGCUGGGUUUAGAACGUCGUGAGACAGUUCGGUCCCUAUCUGCCGUGGGCGCUGGAGAAUUGAGGGGGCUGCUCCUAGUACGAGAGGACCGGAGUGGACGCAUCACUGGUGUUCGGGUUGUCAUGCCAAUGGCACUGCCCGGUAGCUAAAUGCGGAAGAGAUAAGUGCUGAAAGCAUCUAAGCACGAAACUUGCCCCGAGAUGAGUUCUCCCUGAGACUUUAAGUCUCCUGAAGGAACGUUGAAGACGACGACGUUGAUAGGCCGGGUGUGUAAGCGCAGCGAUGCGUUGAGCUAACCGGUACUAAUGAACCGUGAGGCUUAACCUU
rnacentral:rRNA from 1 species